rnacentral:rRNA from 1 species
UACGGGGGGGGCAAGCGUUGUUCGGAAUUACUGGGCGUAAAGGGCCAGUAGGCGGCCAACUAAGUCCGACGUGAAAUCCCAAGGCUUAACCUUGGAACUGCGUCGGAUACUGGAUGGCUUGAAUUCGGGAGAGGGAUGCAGAAUUCCAGGUGUAGCGGUGAAAUGCGUAGAUAUCUGGAGGAAUACCGGUGGCGAAGGCGGCAUCCUGGACCGGCAUUGACGCUGAACAGCGAAAGCUAGGGGAGCAAACGGG